AUGUUUUUGUGCCAUUCCCCAUGUUUGGGUACCGUUCCUGAUGAUUUUCUGCCAUUCCUGAUGUCUUUUGUUUUGCCCAUUCCCAAUGACUUUGUGUCUGCCAUUCCCGAAGUUUCUGUGCCAUUCUCCAUGUGUUUCUGUGCCAUUCUCCAUGUGUUUCUGUGCCAUUCUCCAUGUGUUUCUGUGCCAUUCCUGAUGUUUCUGUGCCAUUCUCCAUGUGUUUCUGUGCCAUUCCUGAUGUUUCUGUGCCAUUCUCCAUGUGUUUCUGUGCCAUUCCUGAUGUUUCUGUGCCAUUCUCCAUGUGUUUCUGUGCCAUUCCUGAUGUUUCUGUGCCAUUCUCCAUGUGUUUCUGUGCCAUUCCUGAUGUUUCUGUGCCAUUCUCCAUGUGUUUCUGUGCCAUUCCCGAAGUUUCUGUGCCAUUCUCCAUGUGUUUCUGUGCCAUUCCCGAAGUUUCUGUGCCAUUCUCCAUGUGUUUCUGUGCCAUUCCCGAAGUUUCUGUGCCAUUCUCCAUGUGUUUCUGUGCCAUUCCCGAAGUUUCUGUGCCAUUCUCCAUGUGUUUCUGUGCCAUUCCCGAAGUUUCUGUGCCAUUCUCCAUGUGUUUCUGUGCCAUUCCCGAAGUUUCUGUGCCAUUCUCCAUGUGUUUCUGUGCCAUUCCCGAAGUUUCUGUGCCAUUCUCCAUGUGUUUCUGUGCCAUUCCCGAAGUUUCUGUGCCAUUCUCCAUGUGUUUCUGUGCCAUUCCCGAAGUUUCUGUGCCAUUCUCCAUGUGUUUCUGUGCCAUUCCCGAAGUUUCUGUGCCAUUCUCCAUGUGUUUCUGUGCCAUUCCCGAAGUUUCUGUGCCAUUCUCCAUGUGUUUCUGUGCCAUUCCCGAAGUUUCUGUGCCAUUCUCCAUGUGUUUCUGUGCCAUUCCCGAAGUUUCUGUGCCAUUCUCCAUGUGUUUCUGUGCCAUUCUCCAUGUGUUUCUGUGCCAUUCUCCAUGUUUCUGGGCCAUUCCCAAUGUUCUGGUGCCAAGCCCACAGCAGGGAAGGCACUGACACCUCUGGGAUUCAGCAGAGCCACUCCAGGGAAUGCUGCACAAACCCCUGGCCCUGCUUUGGGAGGAGCUUUUUAACCCCUCCCACCAUUCCCAGCGGAUUUUGGGAUAUUUUGGGAUAUUUUUGGAUAUCCCAGAGCUGGGUGCAGGCAGCAGGAGGAAACCUGGCUUGAGGAUUUGCACACCCUGGGUGUCACUCCCUCUGUUCUCCACGGGGUUUUGGAGCAGGAGAUCACCCGUGGGUCACACCCUGGAGCCCCUGGAAGGGCUCUGGGUGUCAUCCCAACAUUCCAAACCUGCACUGGAGGGGAUUUCUGUCUUCCCAAGCAGGGACCAUCAUUCCAAAAAUGCUUCACGUAAGGAAUCACCCAAAUAAAGCUGCUCUCGUGGCUCAGUUUUAGCAUUCCUGCUUUGUGAAAGGUUUUUCUCCACAGCUUCAGAGUUGGAUUAAACAUUUUUUUGGUGGGGUUUUUGGUGUUGCAGAAGCUGUGGCAGUAAUUCCUGAGCCAGGCUGGGCACACCCUGAGACCAAACAGAGGCGCAGCCCGGAGCCUGCAGUGACAUUUUGAAGUCAGUGCUGGAAAUGUUCCUGCCCUUUGCCCACAUUUUGGGGCUUUUUAGAGACAAUCAGGUGGGAAUUCAGAACCUUCCUCACCCUGCUGUGGGGCGGGGAUGUGACAGCCAGCCCUGGAAUGCGACACAGCCACGUCAGUGGCCACAAGGAGCCUCACCUGGCCACAAGGAAGCUCACCUGGCAGCUGGGGGUAUAGCUCAGGGGCAGAGCAUUUGACUGCAGAUCAAGAGGUCCCCGGUUCAAAUCCGGGUGCCCCCUCUCUUUUUUCCAUCCUUUUAUUCCCCAAAAUGUGGUUGGGAGCCCGGAAUUCCCAGAUUUCCCCCCUGAGCCGGGUGUAGCCCCGUGCUGUGCUUGCUGGUCAGAGGGGAGGCAGAUGAGUCCCAGCAGCAGCAGGGACUGGUGGUGAGGAAAGGGAUCAGGAUUUUGUCCUGGGAUUAAUUAGCAGAGUUUUGCUGGGAUGUUAACGAGCAGGGAGAUUGAGGGAAAGCAGGGGGUAUUGCUCAGUGGGACAGAAUUUGACUGCCCUGGUUCAACUCCACGUGCCCUUUUCUCCUCCUUUCCCUCUUCCUCCAACAUUCCUUCAGCCCAAGUCCUGCAGGGGAAGGUUGGGAAGCUGCUGUGGGAUGUGGGAGUUGAGCUGGGCAGGGAAUGUGGGGUGGGAGCACCAAGGCCCUGCAGAAGUGGAGAACCACUCCCAGGGAAAUCUGGGUCUGCCUGAGCCUCCCUCUGGGCUUAAAUCUGUGGGGAGAAAUUCUCUGCAAUGGGGAAAACUGAACCUGGAUCUGGGCAGGAAUCUGGAAUGGGAAAAACUGAACCUGGAUCCAGGCUGGAAUCUGGAAUGGGGGAACUGACCCUGGAUCUGGGCUGGAAUCUGGAAUGGGGGAACUGACCCUGGAUCUGGGCUGGAAUCUGGAAUGGGAAAAACUGAACCUGGAUCCCAGCUGGAAUCUGGAAUGGGGGAACUGACCCUGGAUCUGGGCUGGAAUCUGGAAUGGGAAAAACUGAACCUGGAUCCCAGCUGGAAUCUGGAAUGGGGGAACUGACCCUGGAUCUGGGCUGGAAUCUGGAAUGGGGGGAGUGAACCUGGAUCCAGGCUGGAAUCUGGAAUGGGGGAAACCAGGACUGGAUAAAGAUGGGAUUCAGAAUGGGUGAAAACCAGGACUGGAUGAGGGCCAGAAUAUGGAAUGGAGCAAAACCCCAAAAGCCAGCCAGGAUCAGGGUGUGAUAUGGAAUGGAGGAAAACCUGGAUAGGAUCAUGGUUGGGAUAUGGAAUGGAGGAAAAACCCAGAUAGGGUAACAGCAAGGAUAUGGAAUGGAGGAAGACCUGGACUGGAUCAGGGCGGUAUACGGAAUGGAGGAAAAACCCGGGGUGUAUCUCUGUGGGGUAUGGAGUGUAGAAAAACCUGGACUGGAUCACAGCUGGAAUAUGGAUUUGGGAGAAAACCUGGACUGGAUUUCAGCCAAUAUAUGGAAUGGGGAAAACCCGGACUGGAUCACAGUCAGGAAAUGGAACAGAGGAACACCCAGACAGGAUUUGGAUGGGACAGGGGAUGGAAGAAAAGCCGGACUGGAUUGCAGCUAAUAUGGAAGGGGGGAAACACGGACUGGAUCAGGGUGGGAUAUGGCAUGGAAGAAAACCUGGACUGGAUAAUACCCAGCAUAUGGAAUGGGAGGAAACCUGAACUGGAUCCAGCCAGGACAUGGAAUAGGGAAUAUCCCGGAUUGGAUCAGGGCUGGGAAAAAGGAAUAAAAGGAAUCCCAUUUGCUGUAUUUUAUCCCACUGAACUCCCUGCACCUUCAACAGGGACACUGGGAUGCACAGGAGCUGCUGAGGAAAGGGAUCCAACCCACAGAGAGAAAAACUCUCUUUCCCAAGAAAUGAUUUAAAUUUCCCUGGUGCAGGAGCUGCCCAGGGGGUAUAGCUCAGUGGCAGAGCAUUUGACUGCAGAUCAAGAGGUCCCUGGUUCAACUCCAGGUGCCCCCUCUCUUUUUUCCUCCCUCCACUUUCCUUUUGCCCAAAUUUUGCCACAGGAAAAAUCCCUGGAGAGCUCGGGGGGGGGGGGGGGGG
ensembl:lncRNA